CAUAAUGUUAUCUGUUAAUUUUCCGAAAACUAUACUAAUUUGUACAUUUACACAUUUUUUUAUUUAAAAACGCAUUCUCGUAAACUAUUGUAAUUUAUCAUUAAAAUAUGCACGCACAUUAAAAACACUUUGGUACAUACGAAGCACUUAUGUCAUACAGAUAACAAAACAAAACUUAUCGCUGUUACGUGAUUAGUUACAAUUUUCACAUUAUUAAUUAAUAAUCCCGUGGUCAACUAAUAAAGCAUUAGUCAAAUUUAGAAAAUUUGAUGCGUCAGAGAUUUAUCUCCAUUAACAAUUACUCGUACACGUUGUUUGAUCUACUUAUUCUUACAACAAUUUAAUUUUAUCGCCACGUAUAUCCAUGCUUGCAUGUACUUGUUCGACACCAGCUUUAUCUUGGCGCAUCACAGUUAUGUGCACUGCAAUUGCGAUUUCGAUGAAGAAUUUCAUCACAAAUUCCAUUACGAUUAUCGAUUGCAGUCGAUGGUCGCAAUUGCACCACCUACCUGCGCGCGCGCGCUCACAUGCAGAAGGUGUCGAUUACCUGAAGCGAUGGCUUAAAGUCUUAUACCCACGCCUGAUAGGAUAAUAGUGGUUUUUUCGUUAUCGAGGAUUACGGCGGUGCGAUCCGGCCAGACAGGCUGGCAACACGUGUCCCCCUGGGCAAGUGACGUCACUUCUUGUAAACACACACUUUGAAUUCUGCUUUCCUAUGGCGGUCAAUCUUGGCAACGACCACGCACCGCUUCGGCGAUCUUUGAACAUCGUAUAUCCAUUAGAUCCUUCGAUAAUGAAAGGCCAGAGAUUAAUUCGAAAAUAAGAUAUGAUUUGCAUGGUUAUCCCGCGCGCUAAUUUAUUUUUCAGCGGGACCUAAUAGCUGCGACCAAAGAGCGCCAAGCAAGGGGCUUUGUGAAAAAUAAAAGCAGUAGGAAGAAUCCACCAGAAACGUUUCAUUAUCACGAGCUUGUAAAGCACGCCGAAAAUAACGAUUUAUUUGAGGUGUUGAAAGCUUCAUGGAUUUUACAGUCCAUCGCGAGUAUCCGAGUUUCCGAAAGCAACGAUCGCACGCCCGCGCGUUAUGAAUCAGCCGAUCGUAAUUAUUGCGACAACAUCAGAUAGCAGGUUUUCUGCGCCGUCAUUUAUCUACGAAAACAAGGAUCUGGUGCAACGUGCGCGUUUGCGGAUCGGGCCACGGCGCAGACUGCGUCGCAUUAUAUGGGCAUUUUAAUUGCGGCGAUCGUCUUCGUUCUGCAGGCGUUGACAGGUGGCUGACACGGGGAAUAUCCAAGUGUGAUAUAUCCGAUGAACGAGACGCGUGAUGUGUCCAGCACGACGAGAAACGGAGAGCUGGGCAUCCCCGUUAUUACCUGGAAAAGGGUCGACUUUUUGCCGUGCAUGCACUCGCGAUGAUAACGAUCGUGCAGGUGACACAGUUCGGACGUGCCGCGAUUAUGUCAUCGGUCCCUCCGGGAACGUUGCUGCUACGAUUAUACCGCAUCAGGCUUCUCGCCUCGGAUCAGCAUCGAGACACCUGCAAGAGCGUUAUCGGCUCAGCUUACCCUCUUCUCGCUUCCUCCCACCCUCACUGCACGAGCCCUUAUCGACGAUGUUUACUUUAACUGCGUCAUUCAUAGCAAUGCACCUUAGCCGUGCGAACAAUCUCGCCAAGGAGAAUCACCACAUUCUCAUCACGCUUGUGUACAAUGUUACUAAGGAGAAAUUGAUCUGAUAAUUUCAUAUAAUUCGAAAUAUAAAUUGCUGCUAUCAGCACCGCUGAUAAGUAAUUCUUUGGGUUUUUUUUAACGCGUUUUAUGAUUUUUUCGAGGACUUGUAUUAUAAAAAACAGAAAAUGAAAAAGGGAGCUUUUAUGAGCAAAACGAUAGCGAAUGCAAGAGUAAGUUUAUGAUUCAAUGCUGUCUGGCUGUUACAAGAUCGACGUAAUAAUAGAAUCACUAUGGAAAUAAGUUGGUUAGUCAGCCAGUUAAUGCGCUACCUACAACACAAACUUCAUUGCAUCGUGCUAUUAUUAGUCCUAUUCGUAACAUCUUUAUGUUACACGUUUAACUGGAUUACUAAAACCGCACAUUACACGUUUGAUGGCUCAUUUGGCAUCAAAUGGACCAACGAGGAGCGCAUAAACAUAAAUUUUUAAGUUUCUAUGAGAAUCAUUCGAUGUCAGAAUUUAUGUGCCGAGAUGCUGAUUACUUUUUAAAUUAUAUUUUAUUAUAUUAAAAAUGUGCAUGUGUCUGUACGGGUCUCGCUAGUUCACAAAUUGCAGUUAUUACACAAUUGCAGCUGAUCAUUCGAGCUCAAAACAUUCCAGUAUAUUGAGAUCAUUGCUGUAUCGAAUCUGUUCAUCAAUCUUAUCAAUAUCUCCUAUCAAAUGAUUGUCAAACAGGCAUCGUGCGAUUAUUAUUUAUCACCCACCGAGUGUAUGCGUGAGUCAGCUGGCGGGCGUCUGUGUCUACCGCGGAGGAUUUUUUUACACGGAUAAAUACUCGCAAACUCAUUGCUCGAUUCCGACAAGAUCUAUGUUCGUAAUAAAUCGAAGCAGUGUUCGAUGACAACCGAUGCGAAUCCAAUGCAAUUUCUUUUCAUCCGAAUUUACCGAAUUCCGUCCGAAUUUACCGAAUUCCGUUCGAAUUUACCGAAUUUCGUUCGAAUUUACCGAAUUCCGUUCAAAUUUACCGAAUUCCAUCCGAAUUCACCGAAUUCGAAUGAUGCAAAAAUACCAUGGAAACAAUGAACAAUGCCGGACGUCAGCCGAAGAAAUGGAUCCAAGGUUGACAAUUUAUUCGGUCGUACGAACAAUGAGAACGCGAGGAAAGAGGCUUUUUCUCUCCGUUGUUCGUCUAGCAAGUUUACGAAGACACGCUGUGGGCGGUUCACGAAAAGCCACCUGACGUGCCAACCGACUGGUCGUCUUGUUCACGAAGCGGUACUCGAUGUCGCUUGUUAUUUACUCUCCAAACAUCUUAAUAACGCGCACAGGCGCUCCGUCGACCUCAUCCGUCUCCAUCUUGUCAGCUAUUUUUCUCUCACGCUUGUCGACGGAAAUCUGUAUCUCGUGAUAAUAAUCGAGACACGUUCUCUGUGUGAACAUAAUGACUCACCGAUGAAGAAUUUAUCAUUAUCGUCAUAUUAAAGUAUUUGUACAGAUACGUAGGCACUUGUGUCACCACGCGCGAAUUAAGCAAUCUAGACCAGAUUAAGAUAUGUAAAUACGGUUUUAUUAAUCAAAUACCGACCGUGAGAGCUGAUACAAGCUGAAACAGAGAAGGGACACCAAAGAGUACUGAAGAAGCAGUAAAAUCUCCUUCUCCAUCUACCCACACCCAACAAUAUGCUACCACAGUCGGUAUGACGUCAUUGUCGUGACUGCACUCACCCAUCCCGCAUUCCUCGUGUCCCUCCUCCCUUUACGAGUCCAUCCGUGAGUGAUUAUCAAUAUAAAAAUGCGGGCUGAAUUUUGCACGAUAAAUCUGGGGGGAAAGUGAGGAGCCGCGUGCCGCCAGGAAUACCAAUCAGCCGGUCGGACUAGAUGUUUGCUCCCGAUCUGCAUAAAGAUCGAGGCACGCCGAAAAUUAUGCCAAAACGUACCGCUUACGACGGUCCCGUCGCAGCCUCGCGAUCUAUCUCUCUUGCUUCAUUCUGCUCCCUUUCUUUCUUGUCUGUCGAAGGGUGCUUCCAUCGUGACAAGCCCGUCUCUCGAAUAGCAACGAACGUUGGCAUUCGAAAAUUCUGAUAUCUAUACUUUUUGUCACUAAAAACAGGAAAAAAAUGUACAUUGUUCUUCUUUUUACAUUAGACGUUUAUAUCCAUAAGCUUCCUCGCGUAAUUUGAUGAUAAAAUACAAGUGCGUCAUUUGAUAAGAAGGCGGAUUCGUGUAAGAUAUAAUUAAGAUGCAUACGAAUAUCAGUGUGCUCAUUAGUACAUAAGAAGACAUUUAGCAAGUUUCAGCUAAUGACAACGUCAAUAAAUUACGUAAUUGUUUGGUA